CACGUAGGUGGCAUGAUAAGUCAAAGGUGAAAGCCCUCGGCUCAACCGAGGAACUGCCUUUGAAACUGCCUUGCUUGAGUCCGGGAGGGGGGAGCGGAAUUCCCAGUGUAGCGGUGAAAUGCGUAGAUACUGGGAGGAACACCGGUGGCGAAGGCGGCUCCCUGGACCGGUACUGGCACUGAGGUGCGAAAGCGUGGGUAGCAAACA
rnacentral:rRNA from 1 species